AGAGUUUGAUCCUGGCUCAGGAUGAACGCUAGCGACAGGCUUAACACAUGCAAGUCGAGGGGCAGCACGAUGUAGCAAUACAUUGGUGGCGACCGGCGCACGGGUGCGUAACACGUAUGCAACCUACCCAUAAGCGGGGAAUAACCCGGAGAAAUCCGGACUAAUACCGCAUAGUACGUUUGAGUGGCAUCACUUAAACUUUAAAGAUUUAUCACUUAUGGAUGGGCAUGCGCAUGAUUAGAUAGUAGGCGGGGUAACGGCCCACCUAGUCAACGAUCAUUAGGGGUUCUGAGAGGAAGGUCCCCCACAUUGGUACUGAGACACGGACCAAACUCCUACGGGAGGCAGCAGUGAGGAAUAUUGGUCAAUGGGCGAGAGCCUGAACCAGCCAAGUCGCGUGAAGGAAGAAGGAUCUAUGGUUCGUAAACUUCUUUUUUAGGGGAAUGAAGUGCGGUACGUGUACCGUUUUGUAUGUACCCUACGAAUAAGGAUCGGCUAACUCCGUGCCAGCAGCCGCGGUAAUACGGAGGAUCCGAGCGUUAUCCGGAUUUAUUGGGUUUAAAGGGUGCGUAGGCGGAAGAAUAAGUCAGUGGUGAAAGUUUGCAGCUCAACUGUAAAAUUGCCGUUGAAACUGUUUUUCUUGAGUGUAAAUGAGGUAGGCGGAAUGUGUUGUGUAGCGGUGAAAUGCUUAGAUAUGACACAGAACACCGAUUGCGAAGGCAGCUUACUAAGAUACAACUGACGCUGAGGCACGAAAGCGUGGGGAUCGAACAGGAUUAGAUACCCUGGUAGUCCACGCAGUAAACGAUGAUAACUCGCUGUCGGCGAUACACCGUCGGUGGCCAAGCGAAAGCGAUAAGUUAUCCACCUGGGGAGUACGACCGCAAGGUUGAAACUCAAGGAAUUGACGGGGGCCCGCACAAGCGGAGGAACAUGUGGUUUAAUUCGAUGAUACGCGAGGAACCUUACCCGGGCUCGAACGGUGCAUGAAUGAUUCAGAGAUGGAUUAGUCCUUCGGGACAUGUAUCGAGGUGCUGCAUGGUUGUCGUCAGCUCGUGCCGUGAGGUGUCGGCUUAAGUGCCAUAACGAGCGCAACCCUUGUCGUUAGUUGCCAUCAUUCAGUUGGGGACUCUAGUGAGACUGCCUACGCAAGUAGAGAGGAAGGUGGGGAUGACGUCAAAUCAUCACGGCCCUUACGUCUUGGGCCACACACGUAAUACAAUGGCCGGUACAGAGGGCAGCUACACAGCGAUGUGAUGCAAAUCUCGAAAGCCGGUCUCAGUUCGGAUUGGAGUCUGCAACUCGACUCUAUGAAGCUGGAAUCGCUAGUAAUCGCGCAUCAGCCAUGGCGCGGUGAAUACGUUCCCGGGCCUUGUACACACCGCCCGUCAAGCCAUGGAAGCUGGGGGUACCUGAAGUCGGUGACCGUAAAAGGAGCUGCCUAGGGUAAAACUAGUAACUAGGGCUAAGUCGUAACAAGGUAACC
rnacentral:rRNA from 1 species